GUUGAAAAUCGACCGGUGUUUUAGUGAAAUGUAAAAUUUGAAAAAGUAUAAUAUUUUUUUUAUAUUUGCCUUUUUUUUCGGUUACAAAUUAUACAUCUUGCUAUGGAUGUACAAUCAAAUAGCAAAAGUUCAGUCACUGAACCCAGCGAAUUAUUUGUAAACAAUGGUCAAAAUUAUGAACCAUUAGUUGUCAUAAUUAUAAAAUUUAUGUUUUUGUAGGUGUUUUUGGUCUAUUACAGAAACGACAUGUAACCAGGAGGUCUUAAGUGCAACCAGUUAAUUUAUUACUUUGCAAGAAACUGAUUGGACUUUUGCAGCUUAAGUACCGCAGAAUGUCCCAAUUGGUAUAUAAUUGUGAGCAUCAUCAGGCCUCAUGUAUAUUUUCCAAAUCAUUUAUGAUGUGUCUAAGAGACACUAUUCAGGGUGUUAGUGACACCGUAACGAAUACUGAGGGGGAUGAUUCAGACCAUGAUUCAGAGUUGAUAUCAAGUGGAUAUCUCUGUCGCAAAUUUUGUUUUUCAAUUAUUUUCAAUUCUAUACUUUUGCGAUGGAAAAUAUCAACUCAGGAUCAUAGUCUGAAUCAUCCCACAAAGUUUUCGUUACGUCACUAACACCGUGUAUAGAAAAAUCUCACUAAAAAGUUAGAAGUAUAAAAAGGCAAAAAGUACUGUUUGGAAAAGAAUGGAAAAUAUAAAUUAGAUAAUUAUGUAAAUAAUAAGCUAACAAACAUGUUAUAUCAAAUACUGGCUUUUGUCAAUUGUUGUAAGUUAGAAAACGCGGGAAUCGAAACAUUAGUUUUUAAAUAAGGCAAAGGAAUGACAUUCCAUUAAGCCUAUAAUGCCAUUGAUAAAUAUUUUUUAAAUGGUGAAAGAAAUCGAUUUUUAAGAGUAGUCGAAUAAAAAUAAUAUUUAAGACUCACAAUUUUACGAUAAUAUUAUUAUUUGCGGAAAAGGUAACAUUACUAAUAUCCAUUGAAAAUAUUCAAAAUGUGAAAAGAAAUAAAUUAUAUUGUAAAACUCUGAUUUUAUUCGAAUAUAAAAUUUUAUGUUUUGCAGAUUAGUUAUAGAGAGGUCCGUUUAGACGUAUAAUUCUGUUUUUAUAACGGUAUAUAAUUCUUCCAGUCAUUUUUAAACAGGCCAUAGAAUAAAGAAGACUACGUCAUCAUCAUCAUCAAUUUAAGAGCCACGCUCUUGUCGGUGCAGCGUUUUCCAUGCUACUUUUUUAGGGAAAAAUAGAGCAGUGGUUUCCCUCUUGCCUUCCGCAGUACUCUGUCUGACGCGAGUGGGAUGGCGCCCAGAGUAGUCUAUUUCAAAGCCGUACUAGGACUCCUGUCCUCCGCCUCUGAAUAGUACUGACAGUUACUGCUACCCUCUGCCAGGUGCGUACUACAUAUAGAACGGUAAUUAAUUCCCCUCUCACACACAGAUUAUGCGUCUAAAUUUGACAGUCUCGCUAGGGUUGUCGGAGAACCAGAAAAAUCCGUUUAUUGCCAUCUUUUUCGGUAAAGAGAGCAUUUAAAAAAUAAAGUUAAAAAAAAUACACUACAGGUGUUCUUUUUUUAGAUUGAUGGUGAGGCACAGGAAUAAACCUGUUCAGCCCGUAAUAAAUUUAUCUUAAUAAAAUACUCGUAUUUUUUUAUAUAGCCCUAAAUUAUUAUUUUUUUCUAAUCUACAACCCCUAAGAAAACUAAAAUUUCAUAACAUUACUUACGAAUUUAAAAUCAGAGUUAAUAAAAAAAUAUGUUUCCAAGUGUGAUCUUGACUGCCAUCUUAAAAAAAGUAUUAAUUUUAUAACGAUUUGCAUUUAGUGUCAUUCCAUUUUUUUUUAGAUGAAAAUGUGAUGUAUCUCAACUUUUGAAUUCGUUUUUUUUAUUGCACAAAUAUAUUUUUUUAAUAUUGAUCAUUGAAACAACCGUCUAUACAGUCCUUGGAGGGGGUAUGGAGCAUACUCCACCACGCUGCUCCACUGCGGGUUGGUGUGUGGGUCAAUAAUUGACCCAUUUGCUCGUGCUUAGUCUACCUUAAGAUCUUCGACUGGGCUUAAAAAGUAGAAUGAAGAAUUGUUUUUUUUUUAAUUAAGAUGGAUUUGCUCUUAACUUCGUUCUUCCACGAGGAGAAGAGAUCGGCAGUGGAACGAGCUUACCCAGAAAAUGCCUAUUCACCCGUGAUUUACACAUAUAGAACGGUAACUCUCCCCGCACCAAUUCGUACCGGGCUCCGACCUCAUCCCCUCUGGGUCUUAUUUUAGUCUCAAAUAGCCGUAAGCUUAGGAGUGAGAGGGAGCUAGUAACUGUCGGUUUCACUCGCACUUACUCGUUGGAUUGUCUGGGAUGUGGUUAAAAAUAGUAUUAAGUUUUAUCAAUUCCCGGUCAAAAAGAUGUUAUUCAGAAAAUAUUUGUGCAAUAAUUUACUAAUACAUUAAUUAAUAUUGGCUGUUUCUUAGCUGUAAAGAAAUAUAAUAUUUACUCUCGGAUUUUACUCGAAAAAAAAAACAUUUUUAUUUACGAAGUAUCGACUCCUGAACACACAAUUUAAUCAAUAUAUCUUAUCAAUAAAUUGUGUCGAAAAUUAUUAUUCUAAUCAAUGGUUAUGUUUGUAUAUUAAAAGCGAGAUUCGAAUUAAACUAUGAAACCUCUUCCAUUUUUUCAAGUCGGUUAAAAAUUUUCAUAUUUUUAUUUUUACCCGACCGCGUAGUGAAAGGAAUUUUACCUUCAUACUUCGCUUAAUAGGAGUCGAUACAUUAAAUAUUUUGACAAUUACAUCGUACACGAUAUCCAAUAAUGCAACGGUUCAAAAAACGUAGUUUCGAAAAAAAAAUGUCUGUUCAUAGUGUAGUAAGGAGACUAACAAGUCUUCUAAAAAAAUACGGUUUUAACAUAACAAAUACUUUAUUGCACAAACAGGAAAUACAAAACACGAAACAAAAGAGGAAUAGAAAGAGUACAAUAGGCGGCUUUAUUGCUAAGUAGCGAUUUCUUCCAGACAACUUUUAAGUUUUAGUAAGGUUUUAUACAAAAUGACAAGCAAUAUUUUCUCUAACAACUGAAAAGCCCGUAAGAAAAAACCCGUGAUAAAUAGUAUAAUAUAAACACUGUUGGGAAUGUACUAAAAAGGCGUAAAAGUUAUAAUAAAGAAAGCUGUAUUACCUAGCCUUUAUGCAGAUAGUGUUACAGUGAAAAAUGGAACAAUAAAAAAAAAAACAAGUAGAUAAAAGUCAUAUCAAAAAACAGCCAGUGUCCUUAUUGUCAAAGAGUUUUUACAACAAGAAGAAAGCAUUCGAUUUUAUUAGUUUGAAUUCAUGUUUGGAAUUCAUAAUUGAUAUCACGUGGUUUCCAGGAUUUGUGCCCAGUUAAUGGCAAUAGGCUUACAUAGCUGGCGUGGAGUGGUGUAUGUACUAUACUCCUUUUAUGUUUUUUUAUGACUUGUUACAAUAUUGGAUGUCGUGUACGAUAGGUCGAUCGCGAUAACAUUACAUGAAAGUGUAAAUAUAGGUGACUUUUGUAAAAUGAUUCUUCUAUGAUAAGCAUGUCUUCGUAAGGUUUAAGUAAUCGUAGAGGCCAUUACGGUGGCACUGUCAAAUUCAAACGUCGAACUGUCAAAUGAGUUUGACGUUUCUUAGUGGGUGUUCGUUUCAUGUGCAACAAACAGGAUUUGAUGUCUAAUUACUACUUUUACUUACUUUUUUUCAAACUUCGAUAGCGCGUUUCAGGACUGCAUUAUUGAAUGGUGGCGCCAUCUGUUGCAUAUGGGCGGAACUAGUUAGUCAUCUAGUUGGGUCCGCCACAGUUUAAAUUAAAUUAAACUGUACGACAUUUUACGACUUUUUCGAAAUACUUGAAGUGGCUACAUCAAAAUUGACGCCAGGAUAAUAUUUUAUUUAAUUGUUUUCGAUAGAUCUAUAGAUGAUGUUAAAAAAUAUAUCUUGUCGGAUAUUUAUGAAACGAACAUGCCCGUAAAAAGUUCAGAAACCGUAAUGGCAUUGUACCAAUAAUUAAACGGUAAAAUAAUGUUUAAAUGUUAUGAACGAUUAACGUCCAUCAUGUUAAAGUAGUUUAUAAGUGUUUUUUUUUUCAAUAUUGUCACAAUUUUUCUUAAUUGUAGGUAACUCUUAUAAUAAAAUGUAUGUAUGAAUGGAUGUAUGUAUUUGGCUUAGGGAACGUUAAAUCGCAGUGUCUUUAAAAAAAAACAAGUUCAAAAAAAUAAUUUGUCUUGUGUGUAACUUGAAAGCAGGCUGAAUGUAAAAAGGUCUUUGCAAUAAUUUGAAAGUUCCCAAAAUGCGCGCCAAAUUUUUUUUAUCUGUAUUAGCGUACGGUCUCCGACCUAACAUGUAGAUAAUAACAUAUUUUUUAUUUAAUGUUCAAAAUUGUAUUGCCAUCAAUGAAAGACUAAUGUUAUUGUUAAUGACAUUACACUAUUAUCCAAGUA